rnacentral:rRNA from 1 species
CCUACGGGUGGCAGCAGUGAGGAAUAUUGGUCAAUGGGCGCGAGCCUGAACCAGCCACGUAGCGUGAAGGAUGACUGCCCUCCGGGUUGUAACCUUCUUUUAUAAAGGAGUAAAGUGAGGCACGUGUGCCUUUUUGUAUGUACUUUAUGACUAAGGAUCGGCUAACUCCGUGCCAGCAGCCGCGGUAAUACGGAGGAUCCGAGCGUUAUCCGGAUUUAUUGGGUUUAAAGGGAGCGUAGAGGGGUUGUUAAGUCAGUUGUGAAAGGUUGGGGCUCAACCGUAAAAUUGCAAUUGAUACUGGCAGCCUUGAGUACAGUUGAGGUAGGCGGAAUUCGUGGUGUAGCGGUGAAAUGCGUAGAUAUCACGAAGAACUCCGAUUGCGAAGGCAGCCUACUAAACUGCCACUGACAUUGAUGCUCGAAAGUGGGGGUAUCAAACAGGAUUAGAUACCCCUGUAGUC